UCUGUUACUGAAGGCAAAGAAAAGUGUUAAAAUUGAUUCUUGAUAUUGAUUUAACAUAUUUAGUCUUUACCUGGUUUUUCUCUUUUUUGUGCAGAUGGAGCUGAGAGUCUUAAAAAUAAUUCAAGAUCAGCUACUUUAAACUAUUCAAUCAAUUGAGUCAGUUCUGACAGAGUUUAGAGGUUUUACUUUCUGAUAGAAAGUUUGAGAAUAAAUAAAUUCACUCUCUAAGCUUCUUUCACAGUUGGCUCCAAUUCCAUUUCAGUCUCUUAUAACCAACAAUAUCACAGUAUAAAGUGGAGCAGCAAUGGAUUACAUUUAGAGCGUUCCCCAGCUCUUGAAGAUUGAUCUUGAGCUCAUUCAAUAUUUAAGCAAAUAAUUGCCAGUGCCAAGUGGGUGGUUAUGGAUGAAGAUGACUGUGGAAAAAUGUUUCUUUUUAGGAGUUUGUGACAUACUGGAUGAAGGGUAUAAAAUGAGCAGCUUGUACUUAAAGGAAGGUGUGCUCUGUGCAUCAGCUUGAAAUGGACAGUGUCAAUCAUUCCUGUCACCUUCAGCAGAUUCCACACUAUUUUGGAUGUAAAGAAUCAGUUCCUGAUGUUGACAUCUGGUCAUGUCUACUCUCUGCAAACAAGCCUGUGUGUGUGAUCUUCAUAAGAUAAUAUCCACUGGAGGAACCGCGGAGUACCCAUAUUCCAUCCAUCUCUGUACAAGCAAAUGUUCAAAGAGAUGCAAGAACGGAGAAAAAGCAUGGCCAGAC